CUACGGGCUGCUGCAGUGGGGAAUAUUACACAAUGGAGGAAACUCUGAUGCAGCAACGCCGCGUGGAGGAUGACACUUUUCGGAGCGUAAACUCCUUUUAUAUAGGAAGAAGAUGACGGUACUAUAUGAAUAAGCGCCUGCUAACUCCGUGCCAGCAGCCGCGGUAAUACGGAGGGCGCAAGCGUUACUCGGAAUCACUGGGCGUAAAGAGCGUGUAGGCGGAUUAAAAAGUCAGAAGUGAAAUCCUAUAGCUUAACUAUAGAACUGCUUCUGAAACUCUUAAUCUAGAAUAUGGGAGAGGUAGAUGGAAUUUCUGGUGUAGGGGUAAAAUCCGUAGAGAUCAGAAGGAAUACCGAUUGCGAAGGCGAUCUACUAGAACAUUAUUGACGCUGAGACGCGAAAGCGUGGGGAGCAAACAGGAUUAGAUACCCUUGUAGUC
rnacentral:rRNA from 1 species